GAGGGUAUAGCUCAAGUGGUAGAGUGCAUGCUUAGCAUGCAUGAGGUCCUGGGUUCAAUCCCCAGGACCUCCA
rnacentral:tRNA from 1 species